rnacentral:lncRNA from 1 species
GAAAAUUCUUUAUUGUUAAUUUCUUUCUCCAACAGAUAUAUUUUUAGUUGAAAUAUGGAGCCACAGCAACACUUUGACUUUUCCUCUUCAGAAGAUGAGACAGGCCGGGGUCAUCAUUGUUACAAAAGCAAGGCCUGUGAUCGUGACAAGGACAGGCUGGGGCAGAGACCACACACUCAACCAGGUAUCCACCAGGUGUGGGCCCUUUAUAGGAGCUACAAAGAGGGGGCAGCCAGCAAUGUGGCCUCGACACCUGACUCCAGGCACUCCGACCUGGAGGAGGGAGAUGAAAGAACUCACCUUUCCCCAGGGGCUCAGCCAGACCUCCAGGCCCCUGAGCGGGGAGAGUGCGUGUGUGUGCACAUGUGUAUGAGUGUGCACACGGGUGUGCUCACUCACACAGCACAUGCACACAUGCGCUGCCCCUCCUGAGAUGCUCUCAGGUCCCUGCCAGGGUAGGGUUGUAGCUGUGUUCCCCACAGCUGACUGUCAGCUAACCAGGGCUAGGGGUGAGUGCAUGGUGGAGGACACAGGGUCUUAGCCUGAUGCUCGAAUCCUCCUUCUGGAACAGGGGAGGGUGGCGGCCCCCUUCCUGAGGACUGCAUCUUUCUCCAGCCGCUCUCCCCAGAUCCCACACCUGCCAGUGAGCCAGGGAGAUAGGAGGACCACCUCCCUCCCAGGGAAGGGGGUGGCAGGUGGAAGGACUUAGGUUUGGUGCAGGAACACUAGACCUGCCCCUCACCCCCUGCCUCCAGGACUGCCAUUCUGAACUGCAAUUCUGGGCCUGAGUUUGGCUUAAGGGCCAGUCUGAAGGGACUUGCUUGGUGAAGGCCCAGCCAGCUGUCCCAGUGGCAUUUCAUAAACAAACGAUACUGUCCCUUCCAGGCUGACCUGGAGAGAGACCCUUCCAAAGGCAGUGGAGUGGAGGGCAUGGGCCUCCGAUGAGAGAACUCCAGAGCUGGCCGGGACCUACUGUGCUGGCAGCAGACAGGUAGGAGCCUGGCUGGGGUAGGUCAGGGGUUGGUGUUUAGCUGGAGGUCUCCUGGGCCUUGUGAGCCAAGCUGGGGCUUUUAUGUGGGUUCUGGGCUCCCAGAGACCUCCGCCAGAUGACCUCCAGAGUCUUUGGGGUCUCACACUGGGAGAAGCUCCUCCCCUUUCCAAGAUGACCCCCAAAAUGAGGCCUCAGGAAGUGGUACACAGAAGGAUGGCCAAGAGGACAGAGCUGGGUAGUACGCCUCUGCUGGGCGCGGCCUGGCCGGUGGGGCCUGGACGGUGCCUCAGCAAUCCCUUUCUCACCAAGGGACGCUGGCUGGUUGCCAGCUCAUGCAGGCAGUGCACAUAAAUCCCGCCUAACGGUUACCUCUAGGCCCUGGGCUGCUCGUUCAAGACGACACAAAGCUCCUCAGGGGCCCAACUUUCCAGCUGUGGACCCUGCUCAGGGUUCUCGGGGUCCCCUUGCUGGUGGAGGCAGGUGCACUCAUUAAAGCAAAUGUACUCUCCAGGUGGACCCUCAGGCCCAGAGCCGGCAGCAGAGGGGGGUGAAUCCAUGGCAACAGGAGUCACAGGUGAACCAAUGGGAAACCAAACACACGCAUCGAAAGCCAAUCAAACACAAACCCCAAAUGUGAAGGCAGCAGCAAGUUCUUUGUGUAAUAAAUAUUGCAAAGCGCACUUGGUUUCUUUCUUUUCAAGUCAAAUAUAACGACUAAUGUCCCAGACCCUGUUUUCUGCAUUCAAAAUAGGGAAGCUGUUGAUAUCAGCAGAACACCUGCAGCCAAAGAAAAAAACCGUUUCCCAUUAACCAGCCAAUCACAGAUCCUUUCCAGUUUAAGCAGCCAAUCAGACCUCUUCACAUUUCUAAAAAAAUGACCUAACUAAAGCACCAGAGCUCGGAGAGCUUCCAGGGAAGCCAGAUACCGAGGCGCAAAUUUUUUAAAAAAUAAGAGUCAGAAAUAAAAAUAAAAGGUUUCUGUUGGUCAAGAUUUAAAAAAUAAAAAAGUUUCUUCCUGCAGCCAAUCACAAGUCCAUCCCUUUAAGCCAAUUAUAAACGCACCACUGGUGUCUCCCUUGAUGCCAGCCCCACUGAGUAGCUGUGAGGUGGGGUGGGGCAGGGCAGGGUUGGGUAGGGGAAGGGGGAGGUGGGGCAAGGGGGGCUGCUGCCACUCAGCCGGCCCAGGAGCCACACAGAUCUCUUGGCCCUCAACAGCAUCCAGGGUGUUCCAAGGGCUUUGCAGCUACUGCCUCCGGUCUUCCGUCUCCGACCUGGAAAACGCCAUCACCACGUCCUCUGCACCUGCAGAUAAGGCGACAAGGAUCGCU